rnacentral:rRNA from 1 species
AGAAGCCAAGUCGCGAGACUGAGCAAAACUCAAAAAGCGGUCUCAGUUCGGAUCGCAGGCUGCAACCCGCCUGCGUGAAGUUGGAAUUGCUAGUAAUCGCGGAUCAGCAUGCCGCGGUGAAUACGUUCCCGGGGCCUUGUACACACCGCCCGUCACACCAUGGGAGUUUGUAACACCCGAAGUCAGUAGUCUAACCGCAAGGAGGACGCUGCCGAAGGUGGGAUAAGCGACUGGGGUGAAGUCGUAACAAGGUAAC